UACGUAGGGUGCAAGCGUUGUCCGGAAUUAUUGGGCGUAAAGAGCUCGUAGGCGGUUUGUCGCGUCUGCUGUGAAAACGCGAGGCUCAACCUCGCGCCUGCAGUGGGUACGGGCAGACUAGAGUGUGGUAGGGGAGACUGGAAUUCCUGGUGUAGCGGUGGAAUGCGCAGAUAUCAGGAGGAACACCGAUGGCGAAGGCAGGUCUCUGGGCCACUACUGACGCUGAGAAGCGAAAGCAUGGGGAGCGAACAGG
rnacentral:rRNA from 1 species